GACGGAGGGUGCAAACGUUGUUCGGAAUCACUGGGCGUAAAGGGCGCGCAGGCGGACUCGUAAGUCGGGAGUGAAAACUCGGGGCUCAACCCCGAGCCUGCUUCCGAAACUGCGAGUCUUGAGGACCGGAGAGGAAGGCGGAAUUCCCGGUGUAGCAGUGAAAUGCGUAGAUAUCGGGAGGAACAUCCGUGGCGAAGGCGGCCACCUGGACCAACAUUGACGCUGAGGCACGAAAGCGUGGGGAGCAAACAGG
rnacentral:rRNA from 1 species